rnacentral:lncRNA from 1 species
AAAAUAUUUUUGGAAAUUUUUCAUGGAAACAAUUUAUAUUUACAAACUUAUUGCUAUAGGCUCUAUAUGUAUAUAAAUUCUCAUACAGAAGGUUCCUGAUUUAGUCCAACUUAUGAUGAUCCAAACUUACAAUGGAGAUUAUUUAUGAUGAAAUUCUUUACUUGUGAUGGCCACCAUCAAUGAUUUUGCAAUAAUGGAAGCUAAUCAACCAGAGGCUGAAUUUUUGCCAAAAUGGAAACAUGCACUAUUUAUAUUAAAUUUCAGGUCUCAUCUCCAGCCUUUUUACUAUGAAUUCAGAUUCCCCAUGAAUUGGGUGUUGAAUUUUGUGCAUGGAAGCUUGGAAUUUGGAUUUUAUAUUUCUGAAAAUUUUUGAUAGAUCAUACUUGGCAUCAUUUCGCCUACUGUAACAUUCUGCUGGCUCUACCAUAGAUGUGGGCAGUAGUAAUUGGAUCUGAAUGGAUACCAUUAUGCAGGGGUGUCAAAUUGAUGGCCCACGGGCCAAUCCGGCCCUCAAUGUGAUUUUUUUGUGGCCCACAAUUCUCUUAACUAAAAUGAAAAUCAAAACAAUAUGUUAUAAGAUAAUAG